UGGGGAAUAUUGGACAAUGGGCGUAAGCCUGAUCCAGCCAUGCCGCGUGGAUGAAGAAGGCCCUAGGGUUGUAAAAUCCUUUCGCUAGGGAAGAUAAUGACGGUACCUAGACAAGAAGCCCCGGCUAAUUUCGUGCCAGGAGCCGCGGUAAUACGAAAGGGGCUAGCGUUGUUCGGAAUUACGGGGCGUAAAGCGCGGGUAGGCGGCCAUGUAAGUUGGGGGUGAAAUCCCGGGGCUCAACCCCGGAACUGCCUUCAAAACUACAUGGCUCGAGGAUGCGAGAGGUUGGCGGAAUUCCGAGUGUAGAGGUGAAAUUCGUAGAUAUUCGGAAGAACACCGGUGGCGAAGGCGGCCAACUGGCGCAUUUCUGACGCUGAGGCGCGAAAGCGUGGGGAGCAAACAGGAUUAGAUACCCCCGUAGUCC
rnacentral:rRNA from 1 species